GGGCACAGCACAGUGGUUACCGAGUCACUAAGUUGCCACCGAGAAGGCGCAGCUAAGGCGGCGCAGCCGUCCUAUUUGCCCUUCACAGUGUCAACUGUUUGGUACGGUGCUCACUUGCUUCCAAGAGUGCAACCAGCGAGUGGAAUACCUUGUGUGCUUAUCUCGAGCUUACCUAGGUUCGGCGGAAUUCGGUUCAUUUUCCAGCAUGAACCUUCAUUCUGACACAUAUCUCAGGCUCUCCUCCGGCCUGCCAAAAGAUGAUUCAAGCCUGUGGUGUGUCGCCUGCAUGUGACUUAGAAUAGCAUCCACAAUUAUACGCGCCGUCUUCUCACGGGAGUGACCGACAGCCGCGUACGUGAAGUUUGUGCCAACACAGAAACUAUCGCGCACCUUUACUUGUGGCUGAAGCUUUCCGACAACUCCACCGGCUUGAAAAAUGUCCCCCUGGAAAGCUGCUGCUCUGCAUCCCCAACAAAGGCAGCAUGGCGCCGUCGCGGCACGUUGGGUCACGUGAAAUGAGGAAGCGUACUCGUGUCUCCCCCACGGGUGUCGCUGACGGUCACUGCACGCUGGGAUUUACUGCACCCAACAACGGGGCACGUGUCGGGGCUGCAUGCCCCCGAAUCGCAAUGAGAGCGCGCGGACAAAGGCCUCUGGACGUCGGAAAACAAAAGCCGAUGGGAACAGAGUGGGGCGAAACAGGAACCUGCCGACCUACCGCAAAGUCUCAAGAAUGAAGCAAAGAAUGCGUCGCACAAAAAGAGUUCAACAACUGACCAUCGGCCGGUGUUAACGAUGUCUUCGUCUAAGCACGGAGCGGUUGCCGGAGAAGGUCAGCAGGCGUUCUCGAUGUUGAAAAACAUAGCCGAAGGAGCACCGCCGAAGCUGCAGUGGUCUGGUAAACCACCGACGGCGGCUCCUUGGGAAGCCGUACCGACAUUGUUAUGUGUUACGGCAGCUGUAUACAGUGACUUGCAGCGGCCAUUUACGAUGCAUUCGCAAUCGAACAGUUCACUAUACUAGGAAUGUUCACGACUGGACCUGGAAUAGACACAAUUUAUGUUUAGGCUGC